AUUGAACGCUGGCGGCAUGCCUUACACAUGCAAGUCGAACGGCAGCACGGGAGCAAUCCUGGUGGCGAGUGGCGAACGGGCGAGUAAAGUAUCGGAACGUGCCCAGUCGGGGGGGAUAAUGAAGGGAAAGUUACGCUACUACCGCAUACGAGCUCUGGCUGAAAGCGGGGGAUCGCUAGACCCAGCGCGAUCGGAGCGGGCGAUAUGAGAUUAGGUAGUUGGGGGGGUAAAGGCUCACCAAGCCGACGAUCUGUAGCUGAUCUGAGAGGACGACCAGCCACACUGGGACUGAGACACGGCCCAGACUCCUACGGGAGGCAGCAGUGGGGAAUUUUGGACAAUGGGCGAAAGCCUGAUCCAGCCAUGCCGCGUGCAGGAUGAAGGCCUUCGGGUUGUAAACUGCUUUUGUACGGAACGAAAAGGUAUGGCCUAAUAAGCUGAGCUCAUGACGGUACCGUAAGAGUAAGCACCGGCUAACUACGUGCCAGCCGCCGCCGUAA
rnacentral:rRNA from 1 species